rnacentral:rRNA from 1 species
GCGCACAAGCUAGAGUGAUCGAAAGAUGAAAAKCCCNUUUUGGACAGAGAGUCAAACAGUACGUGAAAUUGUUGAAANGGAAGCGCUUGCAACCAGACCCGUCCGUAGGYGAUCAGCCGCUGUUCUCAGUGGUGCACUCGCUSUGCGAUCAGGCCAGCAUCGGUUCGGGCGGUCGGAUAAAGGCCUUGGGAAUGUAGCUCCUUUCGGGGAGUCUUAUAGCCCUCGGUGCAAUGCGGCCAKCCGGGACCGAGGWCCGCGCUUCGGCUAKGAUGCUGGCGUAAUGGUUGUAAGCGACCCGUCUUGAAACACGGACCAAGGAGUCUAACAUCUAUGCGAGUGUUUGGGCGUUAAACCCAYGCGCGGAMUGAAAGUGAACGGAGGUGAGAACCCUUAAGGGCGCAUCAUCGACCSAUCCAGAUGUCUUCGGAUGGAUUUGAGUAUGAGCAUAGCUGYUGGGACCCSAAAGAUGAUGARUCUAUGCCCGAAUAGGGUGAAGCCAWGAGGAAACUUCUGGWGGAUGGCUCCGCAGUCGGUUCCUGAG